CCUAACACAUGCAAGUCGAACGGUAACAGGAAGAAGCUUGCUUCUUUGCUGACGAGUGGCGGACGGGUGAGUAAUGUCUGGGAAACUGCCUGAUGGAGGGGGAUAACUACUGGAAACGGUAGCUAAUACCGCAUAACGUCGCAAAACCAAAGAGGGGGACCUUCGGGCCUCUUGCCAUCGGAUGUGCCCAGAUGGGAUUAGCUAGUAGGUGGGGUAACGGCUCACCUAGGCGACGAUCCCUAGCUGGUCUGAGAGGAUGACCAGCCACACUGGAACUGAGACACGGUCCAGACUCCUACGGGAGGCAGCAGUGGGGAAUAUUGCACAAUGGGCGCAAGCCUGAUGCAGCCAUGCCGCGUGUAUGAAGAAGGCCUUCGGGUUGUAAAGUACUUUCAGCGGGGAGGAAGGGAGUAAAGUUAAUACCUUUGCUCAUUGACGUUACCCGCAGAAGAAGCACCGGCUAACUCCGUGCCAGCAGCCGCGGUAAUACGGAGGGUGCAAGCGUUAAUCGGAAUUACUGGGCGUAAAGCGCACGCAGGCGGUUUGUUAAGUCAGAUGUGAAAUCCCCGGGCUCAACCUGGGAACUGCAUCUGAUACUGGCAAGCUUGAGUCUCGUAGAGGGGGGUAGAAUUCCAGGUGUAGCGGUGAAAUGCGUAGAGAUCUGGAGGAAUACCGGUGGCGAAGGCGGCCCCCUGGACGAAGACUGACGCUCAGGUGCGAA
rnacentral:rRNA from 1 species